AAACUUACCUGGAUGGGAGCCUCUCGCGAUCAAGAAGGCGGGACCUCUAUGGUGGGGCCGUUGCAUUGCACCCUAGCAACAGCUGACAUAUGUGGCACCUUCGAGUUGAAAUUAUCCAAGAGCUACAUUUUUGCAUGUGGGGCUGCGUUCGCGCGGCCCCGA
rnacentral:snRNA from 1 species